UACGUAGGGAGCAAGCGUUGUCCGGAAUCAUUGGGCGUAAAGAGCGUGUAGGCGGCCCGGUAAGUCCGCUGUAAAAGUCAAAGGCUCAACCUUUGAAUGUCAGUGGAUACUGCCGGGCUAGAGUCCGGAAGAGGCGAGUGGAACUCCUGGUGUAGCGGUGGAAUGCGCAGAUAUCAGGAAGAACACCAACGGCGAAGGCAGCUCGCUGGGACGGUACUGACACUGAGGCGCGAAAGCGUGGGGAGCGAACAGG
rnacentral:rRNA from 1 species